GGAAACUCUGGGAGAGAGGAGACCGCGGGUGACCCCUAGGCCUGAGAAACCCUGAUCAGACCUUCUGGGCCGGGCGCCCGGACCCGUGCCUGGUCCCAGAGGACUUAUUUAAAUCAUGGCCCCUUUAUGAAGUAGUAUUGCAGUCCCUAUUUUACAGAUGAAGAAAUUGAGACCUCAAGAGCCUCAGCAACCUGCCAAAGAUCACACACCUAUUUUCCAUAUUGUUUGGAGUUUCAACAUUCAUUUCUUCCCAAUUGCACAAAUGCAUCAAGCCCAGAGAAACUUGGCUUUUAGAUCUACAUGGUUGCUUGCAGAAUUGUGUGGCUCACAAGUCCAGCAUUUUUCUUGCUUAUCCAGGCACUAAGAAUGCAAAUAUUAACCCAGUUUCUUCCAUUGAAAAAACACUUUCCCCUUUUCUCUGAGAAUUGGGAUUUAAGCACAUUAACAGCAAUUAGUACUAGAGCCAAGAAUUCAGAUUUUGAAUAAAACUACAGUUGACAUUUGCUCCUGGAUGAGAGAGUGAAAAAUGGUCCAUAAAGUUUCUAUUAACUUCAAAAGCAGCAACAUCUGCUCCAAUCCACAAAGCUUCAGGGUCUACCAUAGAGGAAGAGAGUGCUGUCCGCAAGCUGAGAACUCAGCCAGCUGUCCAGGCCUCAGUCCUCACAGCCCAUCCUCAACGCAAUGAAGGAGAGCGUCACUUCCAGCAAACUCGGAGCAGUCCUAUAAAGCAAGACGUGAGCCCAGUAUUGAGUGUGGACUGCUGAG
rnacentral:lncRNA from 1 species